AACAAACGCUGGCGGCGUGCCUAACACAUGCAAGUCGAACGUGAAAGUUGGCUUCGGCCGAUGAGUAAAGUGGCGCACGGGUGAGUAACGCGUGGAUAAUCUACCCUUCAGUUGGGAAUAACUCAUCGAAAGGUGAGCUAAUACCGAAUAAUACUGCUUGACCAUGGUCAGGUAGUCAAAGAUAGCCUCUGCUUGCAAGCUUUCGCUGAAAGAUGAGUCCGCGUACCAUUAGCUAGUUGGUGGGGUAAUGGCCUACCACGGCGACGAUGGUUAGAUGGUCUGAAAGGAUGAUCAGCCACACUGGAACUGAGACACGGUCCAGACUCCUACGGGAGGCAGCAGUGAGGAAUCUUGCGCAAUGGGGGAAACCCUGACGCAGCAACGCCGCGUGAGUGAGGAAGGUCUUCGGAUCGUAAAGCUCUGUCGGGUGGAAAGAAAUGUAUGGGGUUAAUAGCCUUCAUACUUGACGGUACCACCAAAGGAAGCACCGGCUAACUCCGUGCCAGCAGCCGCGGUAAAAC
rnacentral:rRNA from 1 species